CCAGACUCCUACGGGAGGCAGCAGUGGGGAAUAUUGCACAAUGGGGGAAACCCUGAUGCAGCGACGCCGCGUGAGCGAUGAAGUAUUUCGGUAUGUAAAGCUCUAUCAGUAGGGAAGAAAAUGACGGUACCUGACUAAGAAGCCCCGGCUAACUACGUGCCAGCAGCCGCGGUAAUACGUAGGGAGCAAGCGUUGUUCGGAAUGACUGGGCGUAAAGGGUGCGUAGGCGGUUGUACAAGUUAGAAGUGAAAUACCCAGGGCUUAACUCGGGUGCUGCUUCUAAAACUGUAUGACUUGAGUGCAGUAGAGGUUAGUGGAAUUCCUAGUGUAGCGGUGGAAUGCGUAGAUAUUAGGAGGAACACCAGAGGCGAAGGCGGCUAACUGGACUGCAACUGACGCUGAGGCACGAAAGUGUGGGGAGCAAACAGGAUUAGAUACCCCAGUA
rnacentral:rRNA from 1 species